rnacentral:lncRNA from 1 species
UAUAUUACAAAAUAAAAACAACAAAAUACUGAUUUCUUCCAAGAUAUCCAUAAACCUCACUCUAAGAUUCCAGGGGAAAAAGAAAAAAAAAAAAAAGAAUUAUGAUAUAUAUAAUAUAAAACAUAACUCUUCUUCAACCUAUGAUAUAUACAGGCUACAAGUAAGGUUGCUUUUCUUGAUGAUCCAAAGAUGAGAUUUUGGCAGAAUGGCCUUUCUUGAAAACUCCAAAAAAGCAACCAGAGCCAGUAUUGCAAUUAGCAGACUUGUCUUCUUCUUUCUCAUUAGCUACCAUUCCUUUCUGUGCUGCUUCUAAUUUCUUCAUUUUUUCUUGAUGAAGCUUUCUCAUGGUGUAAGCUUCUGCUAAAGUAGACCCUCCAAAAGCAGCCCCUGUUGCCAUAUCUUCAAGAAAUCAAAUCAAAUAUAUAAAAGAAACUCACUUGUCUGAAACUCAAGAUAGCGUUGGUGGAAAUGAAGAUGAUUACUUCUACAGGCUUCCUCAACUCUCUAUAUAUAAUGUGAACUUGGCCAAGAUUUUAGAAUUCAAAGAGCGCUGGCUCUCUUUUUGCUUAAUUUCCAAGAAACUGCUUUUUAUGGUGUUUAUGUGCAUUAAUCAUGCAUUAAACAUGAGAUUAGGCGUUACGGAAAAUAUUAUGGAAUGUGCAUUGCGUAAGCAAAGAUGUGGCAUUUUGGAGUACGGUGGAUUGGAUGAUGGUAGCCAACUUUCUUGGACUGUCUCCUUUCUGUGGACCCUUUUUUUUCUUGAUGAAAAUGAAAUUUUCUUGGAUGUCAAGAUUGACUUUCUUUGUCCUAUGAAAUGUACAGGGAAGCAUCACUAGAAAUUUAGAAGCACCUGCUUUAAAUUUUCUGCAAUUUCGAAGCAUCUUCUUCAGAUUUUCUGUUAUUUAGAAAAAAAAAAAUUAAAAAAAAAAUUCAACUUUUAGUAAUUUAACAAUCCAAUAUUUAUUUUAUAUUAUAAGAAAUAAAAGAUUUAUAAGAAAAUGUUUCUAACUUUCUAUUAGAGCGCUUCAAAAUCCAAACCUAACAAUCCCAUUUAUCCAUAAGCAGCUAUAAUACAACGUAAUUAGGAAUGGUUUAAUUGAUUUUUUUUACAAAUAUAUAUAAACAAUGAGCAUGAAAUUUGAAUUCUCUCGAGUACAAAAGUUUUCAUCAAUUUUGUAAGUAAAAAAAGAUGACGUAUAGGGUAAUCUGCCUCCCUAACAAAUUUUUUUCUUUAAAAAAAAAAAUUACCCAUAAAAUAUUAAAGAUUUUUUAUUUUACUACUAAAAUAAUAAAUUUUUUCAAUUUCGCCCCUUAACUCUUGAAAUUUUUUUAAUCCCUUAACUUUAAUUUAUGGCUCUGCACCGAAUAUUAUCUCGGUUUAUUAAAUAUUUUAAUAAAUUUAAAAAAAAAACUAUAGUAGAAUUUUAAACCGGGUUAAUUUUACCAUGAAAAUGACUAUAGUAAUCUCGUUAAUUUAUUAAUUUCAGAAUAAUUAAUUCAAUAUUUGAGGAUUUUUAAUUAAUAAUUGGCUAAGAUCGGAAUAAAUGAGGGUGUGAAGUGAAUACAUAUGAUGUACGAAAAAAUGUAUUAAAGGCACUGAAAACAUACUUUUAGACGGUACAUGACGUCAGCAAAUAUGUGGCAUUUUUCCAUGCACUGGCUGUGUGUCAGCAAUGACAUUUAUGCUUUAUUUGGAUGUUAUAAAAUAUAGGUGGAUGUAAAAAAAAAAAAAAAAAAAGGGAAAAUGCAUUGAAAAUUUUAAAAUUUUUAUUUGAUUUAAAUUGAAAUGUUAAGAAGGGUGUAAAAUAAAUUUAUUUUACAUUAUUUAAAUUUAAUUUUCACUCCAUUUUGGCGGAAAGUAAAAUUUUACGCUCUUAUUUUACUUUCUUUUCUCUUUCUAAACACGACAUUAGCUUUUCAUUUGAGUGUUUGCUAAUUUUUAACUAUUCAUAUAUGCAUGUUUCAAAAGAAAAAAGAAAAAAAAAAAAGGUAUUUGCCAAUGAGCUACGGUUUAAUUGGUUUCUCAAUAGUGUUGGUUAUAAGCUCCCGAGCUCAAAUUCUCUCGGUCCACAAAAUUUUUCCUAAUUUGGUGAAUCAAGGGGAGGAUUAUUUCCUAUUGUUGUGUAACUUAUUAUAUUAUCUCGAUCCACUGAGACUUUCAAUGAAUAAAAAAACAAUUCAUAUCAUAUCCACAUUUAUUUAAAAAUAGGUGAAGGCUCGGGCACUGUGCGGAUUGUUUUGUUGCUAUACAUUAACUUUAUAGUUUAUAAUAAUUUACAAUUUAUUUAUAAUUUAUAAAUUAUUUUUAAUGAUUUAUAUUAUUUCAUAAUGCAUUGAAAAUUUUAAAAUUUUUUAUUUGAUUUGAAUUGAAAUGUUAAGAAGGGUAUAAAAUAAAUUUAUUUUACAUUAUUUAAAUUUAAUUUUCACUCCAUUUUGGUAGGAAGUAAGCUUUUACGCUCUUGCAGAUUUAGUUGAUUUAUCAAUAGUUUAAAAAAAGGAAGAAAGAAGUAAAAGAAAGAAGCAAGAAAGAAAUAAAAGAGUACGAGCACUUGAAUACAGAAAGAAGUAAGAAAGAAAUAAAAGAGUACGAGCACCUGAAUACAAAAAAUUAAACGUACAUAGUCUAUAAAUUUUCAAUAAAAUGCCACCUCUCUUAUAGGAGAAAUAAAAAUGAAAAGGGAAAUAGUUGAUUGCUAAUAAGGGAUAAGAUUAGAUUUCAAAAUUAAAUUUAACUUAGAUUUCAAAAUUGAAUUAACUUAGAUUUUAUUCACUCACUAAAUAUUAGAUUAGAUUAAAUUUAUAAAAGAAAAAAGAAAAUAUUCAAAAAGUUAUUAAAAAAAUCAGAAAAUUUAUAAAAAAAAGAUAAAAAGGAAAGCUCAAAAGAUAGAAUACCAAGUCAGUUUUGUAAAGUUUAUUUUUUUUUGCUUCAGGAUUAUAUAUACAUAGAUUUGAAUACAUUCAUAUUCAUUAUAACCACAUUUAAUUUUUUUUUAGAAAUAUUUUUAUUUAAACUUAUUAAUAAUUAUACUAUCUGUAUAUAUCUUUUAGAAUAACCACUAAUUUUGAAUUACUCGUAUCUUUUGUAAAAUUAUUUAGAAUACUCUUAUUGAUUAGUAUUACUUAUUUACUAUUUGAUGAAAAUCCGUUUAAUGUAAAAUUAAUUAAAGUUUUAGAAAAAUUAAAUAUAAAAUUUUGAAUUCGCAAAUAACAAAAUUCAUGGAUUAAAAAAAUCUAAAAAGAAAAAAUAGUUUUAAAGAAUCCCAUGUAUAAACUAAAAAAAUUCAUGAUAAUAAUAUUAACAUGUACAAUGAAUCUCCAAUAAUGAAUGUCUCUAACUAGUUUUAAGUUUAUACUGUAAAUUUUAAUAUCUGUAUUCAUCAUAAAUAAAUUAAUUUCAUAAAUAAAUUAAUUUCACCGAAUUAGAAUAGAGAACCAGUCUAAGAAGAGUUGGAACUCUAAGCUUCAGAAAUAAAAAGAAAAUUGCUUUACAAAUUCUUUGAUAAUAUGACCUUUUAAUUUUUAUUUUUUUCCGUUUAAGUUUUCGUAAAAAGUAUGCAUAUUGAUUUAUAAAUUUAAAGAACCUUACUAUUCACAAUAAAACUUUUUCUCGAGUUAAGAUUAACUUUAGCUUUUAAAACUUUGAGAUAGCAAUCACAAACAUUAAAAUAAGCUGUAUUUUAGAAGUAUGGAUGAGAAUAUAGGUAGCUUCAAAGAAUGGUUCAAAGAGAAGACAGUGGAGUUGGCAAAAGAGCAGCUGGAGGUGAUUUUCAUAAUGGCGUGGUCGGUCAGCUUGAAGAGCGAGGAAUGUUUUUGUUUUUCAAUGAAAGGGUAUUGUCUGAGCUUGAAAUAGUCCAUCAAGCUUUAUACCUUCUAAAGGAUUUUCAAGUAAAUAAUGUUCAUUCUAAUAGUGAAAAUCUCCGAUUUUAACUUUGAAAAGGUCAUGGUCCCUCCAAUGGGUGGUGUAGUGAUGGCAUCUUGCAACUUCCACAACAUUUCUUCACUAUGCUUUUUGGAGAUAGAUAGCUGCUGUUUCAGUUCUUGUAGCCUUGUCUCAUAUUGCUCUUUGAUAAAUGCAAUUCUCAAGGACUCUUGCAUGGCAACUGGUGGUGCUUCAAGUUCUCUUUUUUCAUGAGCCUGGAUAUACUCCGCAUCAGCUUUAUCUUUAAGUUCCUUCAAAUGGACAGACAAACUUCUAAAUUCUUCUGUCUUCAAAAUCUGUUCAGCAAGCUUCUGGUUUAGCUCAUUACACUGUUUUUUCAGCAUUAUUAACUCAUUAGAAUAUCCUUCCAUUGCAAUUAUAUGAUCCUGUUGUUCUUCCAAUUUGGCCUUGAGUACUAGAGCUUUUACUUCUAGUUCUUCCUUGGAGAAGACCAGAUUAUCAAUCUCCUCUUCAGAACUCACUAAAGUGUGCUUCAGCUUUUCAGUCUCCGUAGAAUGGUCAUUUUUAUCCUCAGAAUUAUUAAGCCUAACAUUUUGAGCUUGACACUUGUGCUCCUCAAGGUCAGCUGUUGUAACUCUGUUUGCCUCAAGAAGUAACCUAUUUUCAGCCAUAGAUGCCUCUAUCUCAGAUCUUGUGGAAUUAAGACUUCUCAAUAACUUGGUAUUCUCUUCAAUGUACUGGGCUUCACUGGCAAGACAACGAUUUAGGGUUGUUUCUACAUCAUGAUGCUUCUUCUGAAGUUCAGCAAGAUGCCUACCUGAGGUGCAAAGCUGCAAAACCAGCCUGAUAUCUGCAGCUACUAAAAGUUCAUGCAUCUCGCAUAACUCAUUUUCAAGUCCAGAAAUUGAAGAGCACUCUUCUCGAGCACUUUUAAGACUGUCCUCAUAGUGAGACAAAUGGAUGCAAACUCUCGAUUGCUCUGAUUCUAAAUCUGACAUUGAUUUCUCGAGAUGAAGCAACUGACAAUCCUUCUCAUUUAAUUGUGAAGUCUGUUCUGUAAUUUUACUCUCUAAACUCUCUCUGAAGGUUCUCUCAGAAUGCAAUUGAUUACUGGAUCUAUCUUGGGCUUUUGCAGUAGAAUAUUAAUAUUUAAACAAAAAAGGUUUUUCACUUUUGGAUGAUUUGGGCCCAAAUCCUUUUGGAUAGGAUUACCACUUUUCAAGAAAAAUUGCAUAUCCCUAAUUUCUCAAUGUUGUGAAAUUAUCAUCUAAACCACAAAAAAAAACAAAAGGCAUACUUAAACUACACAUUCAAUCAAUAUGACAAAAACAUAUAACACAAAAAAUAAGAAUUAAAUUUUAUCGAAUAUUAUACAUAAUAUAUAUUACAAAAUAGAAAUAACAAAAUACUGAUUUCUUCCAAGAUAUCCAUAAACCUCACUCUAAGAUUCCAGGGGAAAAAAAAAAAAAGAAUUAUGAUAUAUAUAAUAUAAAACAUAUCUCUUCUUCAACCUAUAAUAUAUACAGGCUACAUGUAAGGUUGCUUUUCUUGAUGAUCCAAAGAUGAGAUUUUGGCAGAAUGGCCUUUCUUGAAAACUCCAAAAAAGCAGCCAGAGCCAGUAUUGCAAUUAGCAGACUUGUCUUCUUCUUUCUCAUUAGCUACCAUUCCUUUCUGUGCUGCUUCUAAUUUCUUCAUUUUUUCUUGAUGAAGCUUUCUCAUGGUGUAAGCUUCUGCUAAAGUAGACCCUCCAAAAGCAGCUCCUGUUGCCAUAUCUCCAAGAAAUCAAAUCAAAUAUAUAAAAGAAACUCACUUGUCUGAAACUCAAGAUAGCGUUGGUGGAAAUGAAGAUGAUUACUUCUACAGGCUUCCUCAACUCUCUAUAUAUAAUGUGAACUUGGCCAAGAUUUUAGAAUUCAAAGAGAGUUGACUCUCUUUUUGCUUGAUUUCCAAGAAACUGCUUUUUAUGGUGUUUAU